GACGAACGCUGGCGGCGUGCUUAACACAUGCAAGUCGAACGGAAAGGCCCUGCUUUUGUGGGGUGCUCGAGUGGCGAACGGGUGAGUAACACGUGAGUAACCUGCCCUUGACUUUGGGAUAACUUCAGGAAACUGGGGCUAAUACCGGAUAGGAGCUCCUGCUGCAUGGUGGGGGUUGAAAAGUUUCGGCGGUUGGGGAUGGACUCGCGGCUUAUCAGCUUGUUGGUGGGGUAGUGGCUUACCAAGGCUUUGACGGGUAGCCGGCCUGAGAGGGUGACCGGCCACAUUGGGACUGAGAUACGGCCCAGACUCCUACGGGAGGCAGCAGUGGGGAAUAUUGCACAAUGGGCGGAAGCCUGAUGCAGCAACGCCGCGUGCGGGAUGACGGCCUUCGGGUUGUAAACCGCUUUCGCCUGUGACGAAGCGUGAGUGACGGUAAUGGGUAAAGAAGCACCGGCUAACUACGUGCCAGCAGCCGCGGUGAUACGUAGGGUGCGAGCGUUGUCCGGAUUUAUUGGGCGUAAAGGGCUCGUAGGUGGUUGAUCGCGUCGGAAGUGUAAUCUUGGGGCUUAACCCUGAGCGUGCUUUCGAUACGGGUUGACUUGAGGAAGGUAGGGGAGAAUGGAAUUCCUGGUGGAGCGGUGGAAUGCGCAGAUAUCAGGAGGAACACCAGUGGCGAAGGCGGUUCUCUGGGCCUUCCCUGACGCUGAGGAGCGAAAGCGUGGGGAGCGAACAGGCUUAGAUACCCUGGUAGUCCACGCUGUAAACGGUGGGUACUAGGUGUGGGGUCCAUUCCACGGGUUCCGUGCCGUAGCUAACGCUUUAAGUACCCCGCCUGGGGAGUACGGCCGCAAGGCUAAAACUCAAAGGAAUUGACGGGGCCCCGCACAAGCGGCGGAGCAUGCGGAUUAAUUCGAUGCAACGCGUAGAACCUUACCUGGGUUUGACAUGGAUCGGGAGUGCUCAGAGAUGGGUGUGCCUCUUUUGGGGUCGGUUCACAGGUGGUGCAUGGCUGUCGUCAGCUCGUGUCGUGAGAUGUUGGGUUAAGUCCCGCAACGAACGCAACCCUUGUUCACUGUUGCCAGCACGUUAUGGUGGGGACUCAGUGGAGACCGCCGGGGUCAACUCGGAGGAAGGUGGGGAUGACGUCAAGUCAUCAUGCCCCUUAUGUCCAGGGCUUCACGCAUGCUACAAUGGCUGGUACAGAGAGUGGCGAGCCUGUGAGGGUGAGCGAAUCUCGGAAAGCCGGUCUCAGUUCGGAUUGGGGUCUGCAACUCGACCUCAUGAAGUCGGAGUCGCUAGUAAUCGCAGAUCAGCAACGCUGCGGUGAAUACGUUCCCGGGGCU
rnacentral:rRNA from 1 species